GAUCAGCUGCACAAGAAUGCCACUCAGAGAGCGGGAGAGAGAGCCCUCAGUAGCAAAAGAAAAUGCGAAUAAGAAAUCUUAACGGAAGAGCGCGAGAGAGCGGAUGUGUUCAAUGAAAAUGUACACCAGAUCGUAACGACAUACUUACAUACAUUUGUAUGCAAAAGCUAAACGGGAACGAUGUGACAUUGGAACAGACUGACGCUUAGUGCUGGGAAGGCUGCCGCAAUACCACCAAUCUGAUGGAAAUGGACUGUGGGAUUUGUGUGGAACUCUGCUUGGCUGGAAUGAAGCAGUCCGCAGUGGGUCAAGUUCAGCUGAUAAUAAGACGCAUCUCCUAUCACAGCGAUCGGAAGUGUCACACAAAGAAACUUAUACAUCUUUUGAUGAGGCACUUUUCCUGCUUCGUAGCGGAAAACAACUUUGACUAAUGAUGCUGCCUUGACAGUGGAUUCGCAGACACUUUUCUUCUCUGUUCUGACUGCCACAAUUGUUGCACACCGGGGGCAACUCUACCUGGCUGCCACACACAGAUACAGCUAUAGCUACACAUAGACAAUAAGAAGACAGCAUGAUCCUGCAGGAUAUCUCUUUGAGUAGCAGCAGCAGUUGGACUUGACUUGAGAAAAGUUGCAGCCGUUUUCGGAGGAUGCUUUUGAACAGCGCAGCAGUCAGUAGUUGCAACAAUUUCCGGCAUCAAUUACCCGGACGUGUUGCACAGUGGUACAAAGCUUAUAGAA